UACGUACGAGGCGAGCGUUAUCCGGAAUUACUGGGCGUAAAGCGCGCGCAAGUGGCGGAGUAAGUUGGACGUGAAAUCUCCCGGCCUAACUGGGAGGGGUCGUUCAAGACUGCUUGGCUUGAGGACUGCAGAGGUGGGUGGAAUUCCUGGUGUAGUGGUGAAAUGCGUAGAGAUCAGGAGGAACACCGGUGGCGAAGGCGGCCCACUGGGCAGUCACUGACGCUGAGGCGCGAAAGCUCGGGGAGCGAACGGG
rnacentral:rRNA from 1 species